UUCAGAUUUCUGGACCGUGUGCC
rnacentral:piRNA from 1 species